rnacentral:rRNA from 1 species
AUACGUAGGGGGCGAGCGUUGUCCGGAAUGAUUGGGCGUAAAGGGCGCGUAGGCGGCCCGGUAAGUCUGGAGUGAAAGUCCUGUUUUUAAGAUGGGAAUUGCUUUGGAUACUGUCGGGCUUGAGUGCAGGAGAGGUAAGUGGAAUUCCCAGUGUAGCGGUGAAAUGCGUAGAGGUUGGGAGGAACACCAGUGGCGAAGGCGACUUACUGGACUGUAACUGACGCUGAGGUGCGAAAGUGUGGGGAGCAAACAGGAUUAGAUACCCUGGCAGUCCACACUGUAAACGAUGAAUGCUAGGUGUAGGGGGUAUCGACCCCUUCUGUGCCGCAGUCAACACAAUAUGCAUUCCGCCUGGGGAGUACGGCCGCAAGGUUGAAACUCAAAGGAAUUGGCGGGG